AAAAGGAGAGGAGAUAAUGAGGGAGGGACUUAUGAGGGUGGGACUUGGAGGAGUGGAAGAGGGGCUGUGAUUGGGAUGUGAAUUAAUUAAUUAAUUAAUUAGCAAAAAGAGAUUCCACCUUUAUUCAUACAUUUAAAUUUUAAAAUAAGAAGGGACUGGAGGGGAUUGCUCAUGCAUGAAUGGCACUGGCUGCUCUUUCAGAGGACCUGACUCCCAGCAGCUCCAUGAUGUCUCUCAACCAUGUGUAACUCCAGUUCCGUGUAAUCCAACACCCUCUUUGGGGCCCUGCAGGCACCAGGCUUGCAUGUGAUUCACAGGCAGGCAGGUGAGCAAAACACCCAUACCCAUAAAGUAAAAAUAUUUUUUAAGCAUGGAGAAAAUAUAUAUUUCACAGACAUUGAGAUUCAUUCAAACAAGAGAUGGGGCACCAGACAUAGAAAAAGAGUCACUAUAAAUACCUUAGCACAACUGAAUUGCUGUGGCCUGAUAAAGUUUGAAAAUUAGCUUCAGGCAGGAUAAACCUGCAUCUGGUUUCUAUAGCAGAUUAGCUAAUGUGGGUGAAGCUCUUGGACACUUGUGAAGAAAGCAAAAUAGUGCUGUGGUUGUUGUUAUUACACUCUUGGAUGUUUCCCCCGAGAUGCUCAGUGACGUUUAAUGGCUGCUUGGCCAAUCGCUGUAUCUCUGCUUCCAGAAUCCACAAAGCGGCUGAUCUGCCGCUUCCUGAAAAGAACAGGAUUAGCAGGUACUUGGCUCUGAAGAAGGACAGACACUGGGAAGAAGGAAGAAGCCAGAAGAGGGAGGCUAGGGGAGAGAAGCAAUCGAUAAGGAGAGUGAAUAACGAAUUCAGGUCUUCACUGGACUUGAGGACUCAUCCAAGCUGGUAUUUGUUUUAACGAGCAAAUGAGGUCUGAUUUGUUCCAGAGAGUAGAUCUUCCAAUUCUCACUCUAAACAGCCCACAGUUAAACAAAUCUAUUGGCCAAUUAGGAAGCAAUGUAACUUAAAAAGAAAAGGACAUUUUCUAAGUGAAGCAGGUGUGUGGAACCUAUAGCCCACGGGACACAUGUGUCCCAGAAUAGCUGUAAAUGAAGCACAACAAAAGAAUUGUAAACUUCUCUAAAACAUCAAGAGGCCUUUUUGUCAUUUUUUUUCCAUAACUGAAUUGUGUAAUUCUCAAUCCUGAGCUCUAUAGAUGAUGUCAUGUUGCAGUGCCAUGCAAAAUAAACACAAGGAUGCUCUU
rnacentral:lncRNA from 1 species